GUGGGGAAUCUUGCGCAAUGGGCGAAAGCCUGACGCAGCGACGCCGCGUGAGUGAUGAAGGCCCUAGGGUUGUAAAGCUCUGUGGAGAGGGACGAAUAAGCAAUGGUCAAUACCCAUUGCGAUGACGGUACCUCUUUAGCAAGCACCGGCUAACUCUGUGCCAGCAGCCGCGGUAAGACAGAGGGUGCAAACGUUGUUCGGAAUUACUGGGCGUAAAGCGCGUGUAGGCUGCUGCGCAAGUCGGGUGUGAAAGCCCAGGGCUCAACCCUGGAAGUGCACUCGAAACUGCGCGGCUUGAGUCUCGGAGAGGGAGGCGGAAUUCUGGGUGUAGAGGUGAAAUUCGUAGAUAUCCAGAGGAACACCGGUGGCGAAGGCGGCCUCCUGGACGAGCACUGACGCUGAGACGCGAAAGCGUGGGGAGCAAACAGGAUUAGAAACCCCUGUAGUCC
rnacentral:rRNA from 1 species